rfam:Desulfotomaculum reducens MI-1, complete genome.
GGUCAAGAAAGAAAGGGCAUACGGUGGAUGCCUAGGCGCUAAGGGCCGAAGAAGGGCGCGGUAAGCUGCGAAAAGCCACGAGGAGCCGCAAGCAGGCAUUGAUUCGUGGGUACCCGAAUGGGGCAACCCGGCGGAGCAAACCUCCGUCACCCUAUGCUGAAUCCAUAGGCAUAGAGGAGGGCACCCGGGGAACUGAAACAUCUAAGUACCCGGAGGAAGAGAAAGAAACAUCGAACCCCCAAGUAGCGGCGAGCGAAAAGGGGCGAGCCUAAACCAGAAUUCUUCGGAAAUCUGGGGUUGCGGGACCCUCAUCACGUGAUAACUAGACCUAGUCGAAGACACCUGGAAAGGUGCUGCACAGAAGGUAAAACACCUGUAGACGAAAGGUUGAACAUUACAGAGGAAAUCCCAAGUACCGCGGGACACGAGAAACCCCGUGGGAAUCAGGGGGGACCACCCCCCAAGGCUAAAUACCCAUAGCGACCGAUAGUGAACCAGUACCGUGAGGGAAAGGUGAAAAGCACCCCGGGAGGGGAGUGAAAAAGAACCUGAAACCGUAUGCCUACAAACUGUCGGAGCACUAUUCGAGGUUCGAUAUUCGAGAUUCGAAAUUCGAAUGCAUGUCAUAUCUUACGGGUCAAGUAAAAAAGACCCUAAAGGAAUGCGUGUAUCGAACCACGAACUUCGAACAUCGAACUUCGAAGUGUGACGGCGUACUUUUUGUAGAACGGACCGGCGAGUUACAUCUAACGUGCAGGUUAAGGCAGGAAAGCCGGAGCCAAAGCGAAAGCGAGUCUUAAAAGGGCGAGAGUGUACGUUGGAGUAGACCCGAAACCUGGUGAUCUACCCAUGUCCAGAGUGAAGCUUUAGUAAAAUAAAGUGGAGGCUCGAACCGACCUUCGUUGAAAAGGAGGCGGAUGAGGUGUGGGUAGGGGUGAAAUGCCAAUCGAACCAGGAGAUAGCUGGUUCUCCCCGAAAUAGCUUUAGGGCUAGCCUCGGUGGAUGAAUAACGGAGGUAGAGCACUGAAUGGGCUAGGGGCCUUCACGGGUUACCGAACCCAAUCAAACUCCGAAUGCCGUUAUUUUAGAAACCGGGAGUCAGACUGCGGGUGCUAAGAUUCGUAGUCAAAAGGGAAACAGCCCAGACCAACAGCUAAGGUCCCAAAGAUAUACUAAGUGGAAAAGGAUGUGGGGUUGCUAAGACAACCAGGAUGUUGGCUUAGAAGCAGCCACCAUUUAAAGAGUGCGUAAUAGCUCACUGGUCAAGUGACCCUGCGCCGAAAAUGUAACGGGGCUAAGUAUAUCACCGAAGCUUUGGAUUCUCGAGGUUCGAUAUUCGAGAUUCGAUGUUCGAAAGGAAAACUCACAUGAUAAAAGAUUAUCAUGAUCUUGAAGUGUACAAGAGGGGAUAUAAACUGGCUCUUCAAAUACACAAAACAACAAAGGGUUUUCCGCAGCAUGAGUUGUAUGAGAUAGGGAGCCAAAUAAGACGUGCGACCGUAUCAAUACCGCUUAAUAUAGCCGAAGGAUACGGUAGAAAGAACUAUGUAGAUGAUUUUAAGAGGUUCUUAAUAAAUGCACUUGGAUCCUGUAAUGAGGUUGCAGUUUUACUAGAUAUGAUCAAAGACCUUGGAUAUAUAUCAGAUCAGUAUGAAGGUUUUAAAGAGGAAUACGAUUAUCUAGGAAGGCAACUAAACAAACUGAUACAAACUUGGAAAUAAUCGAAUUUCGAAAUUCGAAUAUCGAACUUCGAGAAUGGUAGGGGAGCGUUCUUACCACAUUGAAGCAGUACCGAAAGGAGCUGUGGAGAGGUAAGAAGUGAGAAUGCCGGUAUGAGUAAGCGAAAAGGCAGGUGAGAAUCCUGCCCGCCGAAAACCUAAGGAUUUCUGGGGAAGGUUCGUCCGCCCAGAGUAAGUCGGGACCUAAGCCGAGGCCGCAAGGCGUAGGCGAUGGACAAUCGGUUGAAAAUCCGAUACCACCAAAAACCGUAUGAGGAUGGAGUGACGCAGGAGGGUAAGUUAAGCCAGCGGUUGGAAAAGCUGGUCCAAGCCCGUAGGGUGUAAGAUAGGCAAAUCCGUCUUACAUAAAACCUGAGAGGUGACGGGGAGCGAAAACAAGUAGCGAAGUAACUGAUCCCAAACUGCCAAGAAAAGCUUCUAACGAGGUAAGUUGGUGCCCGUACCGCAAACCGACACAGGUAGGUGGGGUGAGAAUCCUAAGGCGCGCGAGAGAACCCUCGUUAAGGAACUCGGCAAAAUGACCCCGUAACUUCGGGAGAAGGGGUGCCUCGGUAUCGUGAAAAUUGUACGAUUGGAGCGAGAAAAGGCCGCAGAGAAAAGGUCCAAGCGACUGUUUACCAAAAACACAGGUCCCUGCUAAAGCGAAAGCUGACGUAUAGGGGCUGACGCCUGCCCGGUGCUGGAAGGUUAAGGGGAAAUGUUAAGGAAACUGAAGCAUAGAACCGAAGCCCCAGUAAACGGCGGCCGUAACUAUAACGGUC